CUACGGGGCGCUGCAGGCGAGAAAACUUUGCAAUGUGCGAAAGCACGACAAGGUUAAUCCGAGUGGUUUGUGCUAAACGAACCUUUUGACAGUCCUAGAAACACUGUUGAAUAAGGGGUGGGCAAGUUCUGGUGUCAGACGCCGCGGUAAAACCAGCACCUCAAGUGGUCAGGAUGAUUAUUGGGCCUAAAGCAUCCGUAGCCGGCUCUGUAAGUUUUCGGUUAAAUCUGUACGCUCAACGUACAGGCUGCCGGGAAUACUGCAGAGCUAGGGAGUGGGAGAGGUAGACGGUACUCGGUAGGGAGGGGUAAAAUCCUUUGAUCUAUUGAUGACCACCUGUGGCGAAGGCGGUCUACCAGAACACGUCCGACGGUGAGGGAUGAAAGCUGGGGGAGCAAACCGGAUUAGAUACCCUUGUAGUC
rnacentral:rRNA from 1 species